AGCGAACGCUGGCGGCAGGCCUAACACAUGCAAGUCGAACGAACCUUUCGGGGUUAGUGGCGGACGGGUGAGUAACACGUGGGAACGUGCCUUUAGGUUCGGAAUAACUCAGGGAAACUUGUGCUAAUACCGAAUGUGCCCUUCGGGGGAAAGAUUUAUCGCCUUUAGAGCGGCCCGCGUCUGAUUAGCUAGUUGGUUGAGGUAAUGGCUCACCAAGGCGACGAUCAGUAGCUGGUCUGAGAGGAUGCUCAGCCACAUUGGGACUGAGACACGGCCCAAACUCCUACGGGAGGCAGCAGUGGGGAAUAUUGCGCAAGGGGCGAAAGUCUGACGCAGCCAUGCCGCGUGAAUGAUGAAGGUCUUAGGAUUGUAAAAUUCUUUCUCCGGGGACGAUAAUGACGGUACCCGGUGAAGAAGCCCCGGCUAACUUCGUG
rnacentral:rRNA from 1 species